rnacentral:lncRNA from 1 species
GUUUGAAGUAUAAUAUAAUCAUAGUUUAGUUUCACUUGUCCAGAUAAAUGACCAUUAUAAAAUUUUAUUGACCAUGUACAAAGUUAGCCAGUGGGGUUUAUGAUGUGAAUAAACACUUCAUUCAGAUAACUGAAUGACCAUGUUACAUAAACACCAUGACACAUGUUACUUUUAAGUGUAUUGGGGGAGUUAAGACUUUUAAUAAGGGUAAUUCAUCGGUCACUUCAAAGUUGCAAAAGUUAAGUACCGACAUUUAUGACUUUAUUUGAAUAAUGGGAUAAUUUCUCCGGGACUAUAUAAACAAGUUUGUUCAGUUGGAAUACUAUCUGUAAAUUCCAGCUGAACAGAACUUUGUGUUUUUAUUUAAAGGUUAGUAAACUUUACACAUUUUUGGUAACGACUUAAUCAAUUUAAUUGAGAAAGAAUCUGUCGUUAAAAGUAAAUUUUUAAACUGUAAUCCGAAAAUAGAAACAAUGUACUCGUUUAACUUUAUCAAUUUAACGGAAAACUUAAAUUAUUCAAUGUCAUUUGAUUUAUUUACAACUUUAUUGUAUUUAUUAAUUAUCACUAUUUUUGAUUUGUAUUUUAAUUUGAUGUUUUGUAUUGUAUUAUCAAAAUUAAAACUGAUCUGUAAAUUCCAGCUGAACAGAACUUUGUGUUUUUAUUUAAAGGUACUAUUUCUGAAACCCUUGUGGUAUGAUCCAGUCCUAAACACGAACAGCAUAAAAAGUACUGGUUAUCCGACUUUUAUAGUUGGUUUUUAGCACUUUUUAUAAUUGGUUUUGGUGUUGUUUUUGGGGUUUGACUAACUCGACUUGGUGUAGCUAGAGGUUGGAUGAAACUUUGUAUAUUUAGAUAACCAGUACUUUUUAUGCUGUUCGUGUUUAGGACUGGAUCAUACCACAAGGGUUUCAGAAAUAGUACCUUUAAAUAAAAACACAAAGUUCUGUUCAGCUGGAAUUUACAGAUCAGUUUUAAUUUUGAUAAUACAAUACAAAACAUCAAAUUAAAAUACAAAUAAAAAAUAGUGAUAAUUAAUAAAUACAAUAAAGUUGUAAAUAAAUCAAAUGACAUUGAAUAAUUUAAGUUUUCCGUUAAAUUGAUAAAGUUAAACGAGUACAUUGUUUCUAUUUUCGGAUUACAGUUUAAAAAUUUACUUUUAACGACAGAUUCUUUCUCAAUUAAAUUGAUUAAGUCGUUACCAAAAAUGUGUAAAGUUUACUAACCUUUAAAUAAAAACACAAAGUUCUGUUCAGCUGGAAUUUACAGAUAGUAUUCCAACUGAACAAACUUGUUUA